UACGUAGGGGGCAAGCGUUGUCCGGAUUUAUUGGGCGUAAAGAGCGUGUAGGCGGCCAAGCAGGUCAGCUGUGAAAACUCGAGGCUCAACCUCGAGAGGUCGGUGGAAACCGUAUGGCUAGAGUCCGGAAGAGGAGAGUGGAAUUCCCGGUGUAGCGGUGAAAUGCGCAGAUAUCGGGAAGAACACCCGUGGCGAAGGCGGCUCUCUGGGACGGUACUGACGCUGAGACGCGAAAGCGUGGGGAGCGAACAGG
rnacentral:rRNA from 1 species